UACGUAGGUGGCGAGCGUUAUCCGGAAUGAUUGGGCGUAAAGGGUGCGUAGGCGGCCUGCUAAGUCUGGAGUGAAAGGUACCGGCUCAACCGGUACAGGCUCUGGAAACUGGCGGGCUAGAGAGCAGGAGAGGGCGGUGGAACUCCAUGUGUAGCGGUAAAAUGCGUAGAUAUAUGGAAGAACACCAGUGGCGAAGGCGGCCUGCUGGACGAUGACUGACGUUGAGGCUCGAAAGCGUGGGGAGCAACCAGG
rnacentral:rRNA from 1 species